AUCACCAUUAAAUGGUUCCGAUUCGUAACCCCUUUCUCAACUCUCCGUAUAUAUACUUCAUCUUCACCGGAGGAGUUCUUCUACUCAAAAGAACUCAUGGCUUCCUCUACUUCUCCUAAAUUGUCUCUCUCUGCUGCUCCAGUUACUCCGUCACUCAACCUUUGACUCUCUCCGGCUUGGUCGUACCACUCAAUUCAUUGUUGGCCGUCUCCUCCGCUUCUGGGAUUCCCGCAACAUAAAAAAAGGCGGUGAGUUUAUUGGAAUCACAGAUUAGAUAAACAAAUCCAAACAGAGGAGAAGUCGCAAAGAAUUUGAAUCGGUUUAGACCUUACCUAGAUUAGUUGGGAUCUAUUGUAGUUGAUCGCCGUGACGAAGAACCCCUAAUUUCAAUGGACACCCUCAGAUCCAGCCCUGGAUCCCUAAAAACUCAGCGCAUUGUUUCCCUUUUGACGAUCAUGGCUAUUCCAGUGGUGCCUUACACCAUGGUCAAGUUAAGCCGUGCUGUCUCCAAGAAACAAAGGACCAUUCGUUGUCAAUGUCUCGAGGGUGCACAUUGCCCAGAGAGGUGCCAUUACACCAUUGAUUAAGAUGCUUCAGUCAUCAGAUGAGCAGGUCGUGGAAAUCUCAGCUUUUGCUCUUGGUCGAUUGGCUCAGGACACACACAAUCAAGCUGGCAUCGGACAAAGAGGAGGCAUCAUCUCACUACUAAAUCUUCUUGAUGUGAAUACUGGAUCUGUCCAACACAAUAUUGCAUUUGCUUAGGCCUUGCAGAUAACGAGGAAAAUCUAGCAGAUUUCAUUAAGGCUGGAGGUAUCCAAAGGCUUCAAGAUGACAACUUCACCGUUCAACCGACUAGGGAUUGUGUGGUGAGGACAUUGAAGAGGCUAGAUAACAAGAUUCAUGGGCCUGUGAGAAUCUAUUUCUGUUAGACCUUCUGGUUGUUAGUUAAGUAUAGCCUUGGUUUUAGUCCCUAAUGCCAAACCCUUCUUUGAGGUACUGAACCAAUUAUUAUAUCUGAUGAGAACCACUGAGAAGACUAUACAAAGGCGAAUUGAUUUGGCUCUUGCACAUAUUUGUGACCCUAAAGAUGGAAAAUUGAUUUCGUUGAUAACAAUGGGGUAAGAGUUUUUUUGGAGCUUUUAUACUUGCCAAGCAUGAAAGAGCAGACAUAUUGUUAGAGACCUUUAAUCGAAUAGAAAAGCUACUUCCAGUGCACCAGAGGACUCAGCUCCUUCCUCACCCACCAACGGCAACGGUUUAAGGUACAACAACACAUGUAUCUUUAACACAGCGCGGGGGCUCAGCUCCUCAACUUUCCCUUUGUUUUUUACUAUGAGUUACCAAAGCAAAGACAGCUGGGGAUUCUUCAUAGAGAGCGAUGCAAGGCUUUGCCAACAUGGUCUUGAAGGAAAAAAAGAAAAUCAAAGAGAAACUGAAAGUUAUCGUAUAAGUCUCUCCCACCACUUCUCCAAACUAUUUGAUUGCUGUGAAGAAUGCUUCAUGUUCUCUCUUUGACUCAUUGCUUGAAGAAUACAUUGCUUCUUCUUUGCCUUUUCCUUUCGCAAAGGCUUUUGUUCUCUUAGAUCAUAAUCAUGUCAUGUACAUAUUAGGGACUCACAUUAUCUAUUAACUCAGAGAAACCUUUGUUGGUGACAAGCUUAAUAAGAUCUUAAGCUUGGCUUUCAUUGACAUUUAUCUUUUUCCCUCGACUU